rnacentral:rRNA from 1 species
GCCAGACUCCUACGGGAGGCAGCAGUGGGGAAUAUUGCACAAUGGGGGGAACCCUGAUGCAGCGACGCCGCGUGAGUGAAGAAGUAUCUCGGUACGUAAAGCUCUAUCAGCAGGGAAGAAAAUGACGGUACCUGACUAAGAAGCCCCGGCUAACUACGUGCCAGCAGCCGCGGUAAUACGUAGGGGGCAAGCGUUAUCUGGAUUCACUGGGUGUAAAGGGAGCGUAGACGGCGACGCAAGUCUGGAGUGAAAGCCCGGGGCCCAACCCCGGGACUGCUCUGGAAACUGCGUCGCUGGAGUACGGGAGGGGCAGGCGGAAUUCCUGGUGUAGCGGUGAAAUGCGUAGAUAUCAGGAGGAACACCGGUGGCGAAGGCGGCCUGCUGGACUGCAACUGACGUUGAGGCCCGAAAGCGUGGGGAGCAAACAGGAUUAGAUACCCCAGUAUCG